GCUGGCAAGUUAGAUUUUUUGCACAGUGACCAGUGCACUAACUUUGCCACUCUGUCAUGUCUAAUUCUGUAAUCUGUUUGUGCAAUCUUUGGACAUUCGCAGGCGAGGUGUGACACAGUUUCAUCUUUUUCUCGGCAGAGUCAACAUUUGCUGUUAGCACUAAUUCCUUGGAUCUUAGCUUCCCUCACGUUGGUUUGGAUACGCUUGUUCUUGUGCAGCAAAAAUCAAGCCUUCAGUUUCUUUCUUAAGGGUCCCCGGUUUUUGUUAUAUUAUUAUUAUCAUUAUUAAAGGACAAGUGAGAGAAGGGGCUUGAGGGAAUCCAAGGAAAGGCUGUUCCAAGUGCAAACCAUUGCCCAGCAAAUGACACCCAUACAUCACACACACACACACACACACACACAGAGAGAGAGAGAGAGAGAGAGAGAGAGAGAGAGAGGCUGCCAGCUACCCCAAGGAAAGAGCAAAUUCCAUCUUCACAGUUGCUAGGUAACCGCAUCCUGCCUCCCGCAGGCCCCUCAGCCAAUGGGUGCUUGUUCAGGUGAUGUCAUGCUCUUUGCCCACACAUCAUUGGCUGGGUCCUGAGCUCUCUUUUUCAUCUUCUGCCAGAGGAUGCUGGCGAGUUACCUGGGAGAAGUCCAGCCCUCCCACCAGAGGUUUCCAAAGAGAAGGGCCAGUAUCCUUCCCCUGGUCACGAUUCCCAGACAUCCCGGAUCCUCCGCAGACAGAAAGAUUCCUCAGGCCCGGUCCGUCUCCACGGGAGAGGCUGUGGCCCUGCGGCUGCAUCUCCUGCCCAGAUGGAAAUACCGCUGGCAGUACCUGAACUAUCAUUACCUGGGCAAGAGGCCACAUCGUUUCCUGUCGCUGAACUUCUGAGCUAAAUCCCCAAAGAUGAUGCAGGUAGGUAGAAGAAAGCUCUGCCUUCAGUUGCAACAACCCCCUGGGGGUGGGUGGGGGAACAGAUGGCAGCAGGAAAAUCUCUGGGGUAAAUGGCUUGCAAGAACCAGGAGGGCGAAGGUGAUAAAGCUGCGGGGAAGGUCCUGGGCUCCUACAGCCUGCCCCUGUAUCCGUACAUAGUGACAGAGCCGUCUGUCUGU
rnacentral:lncRNA from 1 species